GGUUCCGAUAGUGUAGUAGUUAUCACGUCUGCUUUACACGCAGAAGGUCCUGGGUUCAAUCCCCAGUGGAACCA